CCUACGGGUGGCAGCAGUGGGGAAUAUUGCACAAUGGGGGAAACCCUGAUCCAGCGACGCCGCGUGAAUGAAGACGUAUUUCUGGACGUAAAACUCUAUCAGCAGGGAAGAAAAUGACGGUACCUGACUAACAAGCCCCGUCCAACUCCGUGCCAGCAGCGGCGGUAACACGUAGGGGGCAAGCGUGAUCCGGAUUUACGGGGUGUAAAGGGAGCGUAGACGGCAGCGCAAGUCUGGAGUGAAAACCCAUGGCUUAACCAUGGAACUGCUGUGGAAACUGUGCAGCUAGAGUGCAGGAGAGGUAAGCGGAAUUCCUAGUGUAGCGGUGAAAUGCGUAGAUAUUAGGAAGAACACCAGUGGCGAAGGCGGCUUACUGGACUGUAACUGACGUUGAGGCUCGAAAGCGUGGGGAGCAAACAGGAUUAGAUACCCCAGUAGUC
rnacentral:rRNA from 1 species